GCGCCUGUAGCUCAAGGGAUAGAGCAUCUGCCUUCUAAGCAGGUGGUUGGCCGUUCAAGUCGGCCCAGGCGUG
rnacentral:tRNA from 1 species